rnacentral:rRNA from 1 species
UUAGUUGUUCAGCGAGUCAUGUCGGAGUACUCUAAUGGGACUGCCGGUGACGAGCCGGAGGAAGUGGGAUGACGUCAAGUCAGCAUGGCCUUUAUGUCCAGGGCCACACACGUGCUACAAUGGACGGUACAGAGGGACGCAAGACCGCAAGGUGGAGCAAAUCCUCAAAACCGUUCUCAGUUCGGAUUGUAGGCUGCAAUUCGCCUACAUGAAGCUGGAAUUGCUAGUAAUCGCAGAUCAGCUACGCUGCGGUGAAUACGUUCUCGGGCCUU